GGGCUGUUAGCACAGUUGGUAGUGCGCCCGCUUCGCAUUCGCGAGCGUGCGGGAGGUCCUGGUUUCGAUUACCAGAUAGUCCA
rnacentral:tRNA from 1 species